GAUGAACGCUAGCGGCAGGCUUAAUACAUGCAAGUCGAGGGGCAGCACGGGUAGCAAUACCUGGUGGCGACCGGCAAACGGGUGCGGAACACGUACGCAACCUUCCCAAAACUGGUGAAUAGCCCUCCGAAAGGAGGAUUAAUACACCGUAACAUAAUGAAGUGGCAUCACUUUAUUAUUAUAGCUCCGGCGGUUUUGGAUGGGCGUGCGCCUGAUUAGGUAGUUGGCGGGGUAACGGCCCACCAAGCCUGCGAUCAGUAACUGGUGUGAGAGCACGACCAGUCACACGGGCACUGAGACACGGGCCCGACUCCUACGGGAGGCAGCAGUAAGGAAUAUUGGUCAAUGGACGAAAGUCUGAACCAGCCAUGCCGCGUGAAGGAUGAAGGCCCUCUGGGUUGUAAACUUCUUUUAUAUGGGACGAAAAAAGGGAAUUCUUUCUCACUUGACGGUACCAUAGGAAUAAGCACCGGCUAACUCCGUG
rnacentral:rRNA from 1 species